rnacentral:lncRNA from 1 species
CUCAGUUUGUCUUAUAGGCAGCUAAUAUGGGCUAUUGGUGUUUUUAUUUUUAAAUGAAACUGAACAGUCCAUAGCAUUUUAAGCUCACAUGUCAAAUGCGUAGGGUACAAGAUUAGUAAUUUCACAUAAGUAAUGUAUAUCUGUCUUGUAUUGAUAUAUUGGAGAAUAUGAUUAUAUACUUGCUUUUUGCCAAAGCACUAUUUUUCUACUUAUAUCACUAACAGGGGUCGAUUAGAAAUG